rnacentral:sRNA from 1 species
GUUGGGCGCUGUGGCCCACGCCUGUAAUCCCAGCAACCCAGGAGGCUGAGGCAGGAGGAUUGCGAGUUCAAAACCAGCUGCAGCAAUUUAGUGAGGCCCAAAGAAACUCAGUGAGAUCCUGUCUCUA